CGUGUUCCCCUCGGCCGGCCGAGAGUCAGCUGUUCCUCCCGGGCGGCGACACGUCGUACUGCUUGCUGUCAGCCUCACAGUAGGCCCAUGGCCCCAUCACCACCACAGCUGCUCUUCCUCUGAUAACAUGGGUUAGGAAGCUGCUUCGGAACCCCGAGAAGCGCUGGUUAGAGCCCGCGGGUCCCCGCACCUGCUGGAUCUCUCUCAAAAGCCUUCAGUAUGACUGCAACAACAAAUGAUAGUGGUGGUGGCUUCCUACGCACACGGCUGAGAUCUGCCCUUCACUCUUCAAAUGAUCUGUUAUCUGGCAUAUCUUCUAACAUCUCUUCUCGUCUCUCUGUGUUCUCUGCAGCAUCAGGAAAUUCCAAUGCAUCGUCAGAAAAAACUCCACCUGUUCCUGAGAAACCCCCAAGUACACCUCCCUUACAGCUUCCUCCUAGUCCUGAAGAAAGCCAUCGCUCUCCUACUAUGAAGGAGAUGAUCAAGGAAACUUUUAAGCUAGAAAAUCUACGAGAAUUUCGACCAACUCUAGAAGAACUAAUGCAGUCAGAAUCAUCAUCUGAGCCAUCGACACUCCCCACCAACACUCCUGAGUCACCAAAAACAGGUUUCCGCUAUCACUUAAAUAAUUUUAACCAAGCCAUUCCCAAGAAAUUUGUGGAUUAUAAGCAACUGGCAAUCAGAACCCUGAGUGGUGAUACUGGAGAGGGACCACUUGAUGAAAUCCAAGAAAUGAAUGCCUGUGCAAUCAAUGUGGAAUGUGUUGAUGACAAGAAAGAGGAGAAAGAUGCUGAUGCUGAAGAAGCACGUGAUGUUGUUGAGGGAGCAAGUACUUGUCUUUCCUCACGCUCUUUCAACUCGAUGCACUCUCUUUAUGCUACUGGUCCUGACCCCUACGACAAAUUAAAGUAUAGACAUGAUAUUAUCAGCAGUGGAACACCGAGUGAUGGCGAGGGUUUAGGUCAUUCGACAAGUCUAGACUCGACUGAUUCUGAUCCUCACAAAAAGCUGUGGAUCAGAUCAGGGUCUCAGACAUCCUUGCAGUCUUGGGCCUCCAGUCUGUCAUAUGAUAGUCAAGCAGAGGAUUUCAACGAGCCGAAGGAGUUCAUGCGAAAGUUUGUGGAAGAAGUGUUUAAGACGCCUCAUGUCAUUGAUGUAGACAGGAAAGCACGCUUUGGAGAGCUGGCUCAGACCGAACAUGGUAGAUUGUGGUUUGCACGCUGCAUCAAUGCCAAACGCUGCUGCAAGUGUGUGUCUGAGGCUUCUUUCUUCUCCCUCAUCCAGCACUUCUCUGUCAUGUUAUUUGAGUGCAACGAGGCAGAAGACUUUUCACCUGCCAAGAGCCUCAUGAAUAUGUGCUUUACUUAUUACCAUGAAGCGAUGACACCAGGAGGACAGAAUCGGAGUAAGGAAUUUCUUUAUUCCUAUCUCCGGCAACAGCCAAUCUGGAGAUCCAUACGCUUCUGGAAUGCUGCCUUUUUUGAUGCCCUCCAGUGCGAGCGUUCCCUUCGACCUGUGGUGACUCGAGAAGAAGUGGAGAGCAAUAGGUUACAAGCCGUAACAGAUGAACUCCAUUAUCAAGAGAAUAUCACCUUUGGCCAGCUUGGUACUUUCACAUGCAACAUGCAUGCUUUUGGUCUGUCUAAGGAGAUGGUAAAUGAAUUCCUUCGCAAGCAAGUAACCAUUGCUAGUCUUCGACCUGAUCAAGUCAAAUUGCUCCGUGACAAUGUUGAACGCAUGUACAGUGGAAAACAGGAAUGGCCAUAAGUGUGUGUGGCGAGGAAGACGACACCUGACGCUACCCAGAUGGCGGGUGUUGGGUGGCGCGUGUGGGUGGUGGUGGUAGUGUGUGUGGGUGUGGGCGUGGGAGAUGGUGCAGGAGCCGUCAGUGCUUACAUGGGCAGAACUGUCAUACCGUGUUUCCCCUCCGUCACCAGUCAGUUCAACACGGCGUCGAAGAUUACCUGUGCCAUCCUUUGCACCAUAUAUCGUGGCACUUCCUACUAUUUCCAAGGUGGCGUGUGUACGGUGGGCAGUCCAGGUCAAACGGUGACCUCGUCCUCACAGUCCAUCUUCAUCCUGACCCCCAUGCCCCCCUGCUCUGCCCUGAGGGAGGUCGCCCAUGGCAAGGCCACAACUGCCAGUGGCAGUUACAGCAGCUACUACGCCUCUCUUUACGCCGUGGACACCUCCAUGGCCACCUGGUUUGCGUCUAACCCGAGUGACUACAAGCCGUGGUGGACGGUGGACCUGGGAAGCGUCGUAUGUAUGUACCGCAUCCAGCUCCUGCCUCGAGGCGCUACAGAUGACUCUCCAUAUUUUCGGAACGUUGAGGUACGCAUUGGACUUACGGACUCCACCCCAGGGAACUACAGCUCCUGGGCCCUGUACGCCACGUAUCCUGGUCCAUAUCCCUACGGCAGCGGCUACAUAGAUUUGCCAAAUCCAGCGGGUGUCUGUGGCCGCUACGUCAAUGUCCAGAAGGUUAUUGACGACAGGAACUGUCUCAAGCUCUUUAAUGUCAACAUCUAUAUUGCUUAAAUUGUCAAAAAAGGUUAUCCUGUACUUGACAGGAUAUCCAUGUGCCAGAUGAUUGAUUGUUGGUUUGGUGUUGGGCUUGGGACCCAUGAACCCCUGGAUGGUCAGUAAGUGUUUACUGACCAUCCAGCAAGUAUACUUUAGUUCUUGACAUAAUCCAGAAUACAAGUAAACUCAGUGUACACACACCUCUCGAUAUGAUUCGCCAGCACUCUUGUGCACCAAACUGUAGAAUUAUUAAUGUUGAGAAACAUUGCCUGUAAUUAUUAUUUUCUUAAUAAAUCUGAUUGCACUACA
rnacentral:misc_RNA from 1 species